AUUCGGCCGUCUAUUCUAUUAUCUCGCGUAUACGAGUGUGUGUGUGUGUGUGUGUGCGUAUAUCGUCGACGCGGUCUCGACGACGGAAGAGUAGUGGACGCGGCGACGGCGGCGUAUUACUAUUAUGCGCGUUAUCGUCUCGCCUAUUAUACACGUCAUUGAGUUUCCCCUCCCCCUCCCCACCUCUGAGCGCGAUCGAUAUUCCUCGUGUAUACCUAUAUAUAUAUAU